rnacentral:rRNA from 1 species
CCUACGGGUGGCUGCAGUGAGGAAUCUUCCGCAAUGGGCGCAAGCCUGACGGAGCAACGCCGCGUGAAUGAAGAAGGUCUUCGGAUCGUAAAGUUCUGUUCUUAGGGAAGAAGUCUUAGGCUGUGAUUACUGACUUAAGGUGACGGUACCUAUGGAGUAAGCUCCCGCUAACUACGUGCCAGCAGCCGCGGUAAGACGGAGGGCGCGAGCGUUGUCCGGAAUUACUGGGCGUAAAGGGAGCGUAGGUGGGAAAUUAAGUUAGAUGUGAAAGCUCCGGGCUUAACCUGGAGAGUGCAUUUAAUACUGGGUUUCUUGAGGACAGGAGAGGAAAGUGGAAUUCGUAGUGUAGCGGUGAAAUGCGUAGAUAUUAGGAGGAACACCAGUGGCGAAGGCGACUUUCUGGACUGUACCUGACGCUGAGGCGCGAAAGUAUGGGGAGCGAACAGGAUUAGAUACCCCUGUAGUC